AGUCCAGCUCCUGGCCCUGCACAGGACCGCCCCCAAAUCCCACCCUGUGCCUUGUCCCAAUUCUCCCUGAGCCGUGGCAGCCUUGGGGCUGUGACCACGGAAUGGGGGUCGCCAGGCCACCUGAAGGGCAUUUGAUCCUUUUUGAUAAACCUGAAUUGCUUUUGUUACUUUCUGACCAACUAAGUGUGGUGAGCCAAGCGAAGAAUUGGAUGCACACCUGCGCAGAGCACAAGCAGCAGCCUGGUUACAAGCAGAGCUCCACUACAAAAGGCAGCCUGGAGCAUCUCCACCCUCAUUUUAAGUGAGAAGACAGACCAAACACACCCACAAAGCGCUUUACUUUAAACCUCUGGAGCUUCCAGAAUCAGCAUCCAGAGCUGUGGUCUCAUAUGAAGAGUUAAAACCUGCCAAGCCUUCCCAAAAGGAACAUGAAUGUAGGACAGGAAUGCCAGAGCCUACACAGGAAGGCAGUUUUCCUCCAGGUGAGGCAGCUGUGCCUUGCACAAACACGCUGAAUUCGUGACAUAAAGGCGGCAGCAAAGGGACUUUGGAACUCACGAGCAAGUCCAAAGCAUUUACUCCAGCAGUUCCUCUCCGGGGAACGCUCCGUGCAGCACAGGGAGGCUGGAGGAGGUUUCCAUUCACAGCGGCAAGAAUGGAUGCGCUCCCACCUGCGAGAAGGGAAUGCGCACUGCAAGCACCCCAACAGCAGCGCAUUUCCAAACCCCUCACACAAACAAGUCACACGGAGCUGGGACACCUGCAUAGGAACACCCUCAGCAGUGCUGAACCCCUGCGUGGGCUGGUGGUUGCAUUUCAGGGGAGCUGUCUGCCAGGUUCCUCAUCCAGAAGUACACAGUCACGAGAAAAUGAAACAUAUUCCCCUGGCACUACAUCACUUUUUCCCUCAUGGUAUAUUCUGGAAACAAGGAUUUGGACCAAGUAUCUGCUACUGCUGUGCCAUACAGUUAUUCUUUAAUUUAAAAAAAUAUUCAGAAGAAAAUAUUAAAUUCAAUUUUAAUUCCCUUUCUUGUUGAUGUUUUUGUGGGUUUUUUAAAGUCAUUAUAAGGAUGAGUGAUCCAAACGGAGAUUUUUCUUUUAAAAAUCCUUUUUUUCUGUUUCACAUUUCCCAAGCAGAAAAAAGACAAGAAGGGGCCAAGGAGUUCCUCGAGAAAUUUCAAGCAUGAAUUUUAUCACAGGAGGGCUGCACAUAUUCCUGGAGAAAAGCACUUGGGGAAACCAAUGGACAACACGAGGAGUCAGAGGUACAUCACUGCGGUAAAGCAAUGGAAAGACCAAAAAUGUCUGUGGAAACCAGGAAAGAUGUAAGAGCAGGGUAAAAAAAGAGGAUCAACUGGGAGAAAUCACACAGAAAAUACGUGGGUUUGCAGUUCAUUGCAACAGCUGGAGCUGGAGGGACAGAUUUACGUCAGUGUGGAAUUCUCUGCUGUAGCACAUGGUGCACCUCUCUUAUUUCCUCACUGGAGCUGCUGGACUUUGAUCAAUAAAGCUUCUGGAGGGCAGCAGGACAGGUGACAUCGUGCCAGGGACUCACUCCCUCCUUUCCAAGAGAUGAGGAUGGCCUAAAGCCUGUCCCAAGGCCUUCUGCUGGAGCAGCUCCCUCACCACCACCUCCCAAGCAGUGCUGACUCCAGAAGCUGCUGCCGGUCCCAGGCUUGCCGGGCCUCUGGUGGACUCUGGAGAUCCAUGGUGGAGCUGCUGCACCUGCCCCAGGGCUUGCUGCCUCCCCCUGGAGAAGCUCUCACUGCUGCUGUCCCACCAUGUGUGAGUCAGCGCUCAGAGAAGUAGGUCCUUGAAGGUUCCCCAAAAGAAAGGAAUUAUUUGUCCGUGAGUGACAGUCCUGGCAAGCACCUUGCUGCCCGAGCAGGGCAGUGUGUGUGCUCUCUCUGCUGCUGGAGCACUCCUAGGUGGGAUUAAUUUACUCCUCAGUGAACCAGAAGGAGGUUGGCAGAAUAACUGAUUUGAUAGCUCAGUGAUUCUGUCACGCUCUUGCUAUGCAGGAGACCAAACGUUCUCUCUGGCCUAAAAAAGCAUCACUCCUGACAGGCUGGGAGGCAUUGCUGGCCACUUAACUCCUGCCUCUGGAAGCACCAGAGGGAGAAAGAAAUGAAAAAUUAAUGCCUGAUUUUUUCUCUUUCUGUGCGGGACAAGGACAAAAAUAUAGGCUGGAGCAAAAGAGGUUUUCAUUUGUUUGCCCUGGAAAGAAACAAGGAAUGCUCUGAUAGGAUUCAAAUUUCAAGUUUCAUCUCAGAAUUUUAAAGAAUACAUUUUUCUUCUCUUUUUUUUUUUUUAGUUUGAAGUAUUCUUAAUUAAGAAUACACCUUUAAAAUAAUGCUUUUGAAGAGAGUGAUUUCUUUUUAAUGCACUUGUCCUGGUUAUUUUGAGCUGAGUAAAUUUUAAUGAAUUCUUAGCAAACAAAAUAUUCCAUUGUUUACACAGUUCUUUUUACAAGCAAUUAGAGUCAGUAACACUCCAUGAAUAAGACCUUUUGCUACUGGCUUUCAUAACAUGGAUUUGAAAUAUAAACAUUACUAAAAAAAAAAUAUUUCAAGCUGUGAAUUAAAUGUUUCCUGGGGCCUGGAGUAACCUGGUCUAUGGAAGGUGUCCCUGCCCAUGGCAGGAGUUUGGAAUGAGAUGAGCUUUGAGAUCCCCUCCAACCCAAACCAUUCUGUGAUUCCAUGAUUCUACGAUUUCUGGAAGUUUGAGCACCAGUCUUGAACCCUGUAUGAUUGGCUGACUCAGAAAGGAUAAACGCUUCUCCUUCCAGAGUUCCCAGGGGUUUGUUACUUUUGGUUCAGUGGUGAUAGACUCUGGGAAAUAUGUGCAUUUCUCUGGCCUGGUAGGACCCAUUUUAAUAUUACCUUGCCACAUAAACCCAAGAGAAAGAUCUGCAUGUGGAAAAGCCGGCUGUGACAGCCUCAAUAUCAUCAAGGUGAGGAACUAAGUGUGAUCUUGGCUGACAAACUCCACAGAGGCUGCCAGGGCUGCAAGGGAAGCAGGAAACACAGGAGCCCACACUGGCAUGCCAGCACUGAAAUUGUGCCCAGUCUUCCUUCUGAAUGCUUUUGGGAUAGUGACUCCAACACUUCCCUGGGUAACCUGUGCCAGGGAUGGACAACCUUUUCCAUGAAGAAAUUUUCCUAAUAUUCAACCUAAACCUCCUCUGGUGCAACCUGAAGCCGUUUCUUGUUGUCCUGUCUCUUGUUCCCCCUGCUUCCAUGGUGCCAAGGGCUGCUGUAAUGAGCUCUACCAUUCUCAUUUUAGCAAGCAAAUUAAAGAGGAUUCCAUCAGUUCUCUGCCUACAUCCUCCCCAGACACACACGAAGGGCAAGGUGUUUGCUUCUGGCUUACAUUUGGGUCAGGUGAGCAACAGAAAUACCGUGACCUCCACUUGACAGAAACUCCUUUCCCAUCCUUAUUUCUAUCUAGAAUUUUUUUUUUUUAUUCUGAACUACAGGGAGGUCUUUCCAUUUAUUAAAAAGAAAAAACACCUGGUAGAAUCCAGAGGAAACAAAAACAUGGUAUUUCCUGGAUAAUAUCCCUGUAGAGAAGUAGCUUCUCUGUUUCUCCGUUAGAGAACCAUUUGCCAGAGAUCAAUUAAAGUGAGGUUGGGACAAAGAAUGAAAUAUCAAUCCAGCAGGAAAUGGUAUCAGAUAUUAGCAGACAAUAGACACACAUUAGUUACAUGCACUCACCAACAAGAUGGCUUGGGUUGCCUUAUCUUGGGAAAAACAAGGAUCAGCAGGAUACACAGGGAAUUGUAGUAAAUGUACCAUCACUGCAGGAAGGCAAUGCAAAGGGUGCAAAAAACACUAUCACAGAGGGAAAAAAUUAUACCAGACACAGGAAAAUAUUAUUCCCAUAUUGAAAUAUAGUUUAAAGGACAUUUCAAAGUAUUUUAAGGGUUUUUAAAUAUAAGCAACAGUUAAAGAUUUAUACAGGGUUUAAAGGGUUUUAGAAAUCACAAAGGCACACAUUUAUACCAGUGUAAAUUCAGAAUAAGUGAGAAUUAAGCAAUCAUAGGAUUAAUUUUGAACUCUGUCCUCCAGUGAGAUGGGUGACCAAGUUUAUAUUCUAUGGGAUCCCUUCAGCACCCCCACAACAGAAACAAGGAAAAGUUACCACUCUGGUGAGCUGCUUGGUGCCUCC